GUACACUCCUACGGGAGGCAGCAGUGGGGAAUUUUGGACAAUGGGCGAAAGCCUGAUCCAGCCAUGCCGCGUGCAGGAUGAAGGCCUUCGGGUUGUAAACUGCUUUUGUACGGAACGAAACGGCCUUUUCUAAUAAAGAGGGCUAAUGACGGUACCGUAAGAAUAAGCACCGGCUAACUACGUGCCAGCAGCCGCGGUAAUACGUAGGGUGCAAGCGUUAAUCGGAAUUACUGGGCGUAAAGCGUGCGCAGGCGGUUAUGUAAGACAGUUGUGAAAUCCCCGGGCUCAACCUGGGAACUGCAUCUGUGACUGCAUAGCUAGAGUACGGUAGAGGGGGAUGGAAUUCCGCGUGUAGCAGUGAAAUGCGUAGAUAUGCGGAGGAACACCGAUGGCGAAGGCAAUCCCCUGGACCUGUACUGACGCUCAUGCACGAAAGCGUGGGGAGCAAACAGGAUUAGAAACCCCAGUAGUCCCAUG
rnacentral:rRNA from 1 species